rnacentral:siRNA from 1 species
GUAUAACGUGUCGUAUUACU